CCCCUGACGGGGCACAGCCCCUCCCGGUGGGCCCGGGGGUGCCGCUCUGCCCCAGCGCACCCCUGUCAGCAGAGGCAACACGGGCGCGGUUCACUCCCCUCUAACUCGUUCAGGGCAGCUGGAAAAAGUAGAAACGAUUUAUUUUUAGAGUUAGAAUUCGAUGUUUGAAAGAUGAGAUCGACAAGUUUGAGUACAUUGAAGGAAACGUAAUCCAGCAUGACAUAGUGCAGACUUCCAGAAUUAAACUUGAAGGUGUGAUUCUGAGAAAUACACAGCAUUCAUAUUGAUAAGUUCUUGCCAGGAAUCUAAACAUAUGAAACAAUUGUCUUCAAAGCAAGUACUAUUUACUUCUCUAAGAAUCAGAGGAAAGUUGUGUUUUGGUGAAGCAUUGACAGGUUGUGGACUAGUCCCCUUUGUGUUCUGUUUGGCAUCAAGGACACAGUUAAUUAGCAGUGGCAAUCAACCAGAGCCAUGACUUCAAGCAGCAGGAAAAGAACCAUCAGCAGUUGUCUCAGGAUAUUACCCUGAGCACAGAGCAGAAGUCUGGACUGUAGAAUCCGAGAUACAAGAUAGAUCCUGAAGCACCCUGGUCUGGAGCUGAAGCAAAGCAGG